rnacentral:rRNA from 1 species
AUAAUGGGUCAGCGACUUAUAUUCUGUAGCAAGGUUAACCGAAUAGGGGAGCCGAAGGGAAACCGAGUCUUAACUGGGCGUUAAGUUGCAGGGUAUAGACCCGAAACCCGGUGAUCUAGCCAUGGGCAGGUUGAAGGUUGGGUAACACUAACUGGAGGACCGAACCGACUAAUGUUGAAAAAUUAGCGGAUGACUUGUGGCUGGGGGUGAAAGGCCAAUCAAACCGGGAGAUAGCUGGUUCUCCCCGAAAGCUAUUUAGGUAGCGCCUCGUGAAUUCAUCUCCGGGGGUAGAGCACUGUUUCGGCAAGGGGGUCAUCCCGACUUACCAACCCGAUGCAAACUGCGAAUACCGGAGAAUGUUAUCACGGGAGACACACGGCGGGUGCUAACGUCCGUCGUGAAGAGGGAAACAACCCAGACCGCCAGCUAAGGUCCCAAAGUCAUGGUUAAGUGGGAAACGAUGUGGGAAGGCCCAGACAGCCAGGAUGUUGGCUUAGAAGCAGCCAUCAUUUAAAGAAAGCGUAAUAGCUCACUGGUCGAGUCGGCCUGCGCGGAAGAUGUAACGGGGCUAAACCAUGCACCGAAGCUGCGGCAGCGACGCUGAUGCGUUGUUGGGUAGGGGAGCGUUCUGUAAGCCUGUGAAGGUGUGCUGUGAGGCAUGCUGGAGGUAUCAGAAGUGCGAAUGCUGACAUAAGUAACGAUAAAGCGGGUGAAAAGCCCGCUCGCCGGAAGACCAAGGGUUCCUGUCCAACGUUAAUCGGGGCAGGGUGAGUCGACCCCUAAGGCGAGGCCGAAAGGCGUAGUCGAUGGGAAACAGGUUAAUAUUCCUGUACUUGGUGUUACUGCGAAGGGGGGACGGAGAAGGCUAUGUUGGCCGGGCGACGGUUGUCCCGGUUUAAGCGUGUAGGCUGGUUUUCCAGGCAAAUCCGGAAAAUCAAGGCUGAGGCGUGAUGACGAGGCACUACGGUGCUGAAGCAACAAAUGCCCUGCUUCCAGGAAAAGCCUCUAAGCAUCAGGUAACAUCAAAUCGUACCCCAAACCGACACAGGUGGUCAGGUAGAGAAUACCAAGGCGCUUGAGAGAACUCGGGUGAAGGAACUAGGCAAAAUGGUGCCGUAACUUCGG